GAUGAACGCUGGCGGCGUGCCUAAUACAUGCAAGUCGAGCGAACAGACGAGGAGCUUGCUCCUCUGACGUUAGCGGCGGACGGGUGAGUAACACGUGGAUAACCUACCUAUAAGACUGGGAUAACUUCGGGAAACCGGAGCUAAUACCGGAUAAUAUAUUGAACCGCAUGGUUCAAUAGUGAAAGACGGUUUUGCUGUCACUUAUAGAUGGAUCCGCGCCGCAUUCGCUAGUUGGUAAGGUAACGGCUUACCAAGGCAACGAUGCGUAGCCGACCUGAGGGGGGGAUCCGCCCCGGGGGAAAGAGGACACGGCCCCACCCCCGGAGGGAGGCACAGGUGGGAAUUCUACCGCAGGGGGCGAAAUCCUGAAGGAGAAACGCCGCGUAAGUGAAAAAGGUUCUGGUAUCGAAAAACUUGUUUAGUGGGGAAGAAAAAAUGUGAAGGUAACUAUGGGCGUUUUAGCGGUACCGAAGAAGAAACCCGCGGCAAAUUCCGG
rnacentral:rRNA from 1 species